rnacentral:rRNA from 1 species
AUUGAACGCUGGCGGCAGGCCUAACACAUGCAAGUCGAACGGUAGCACAGAGGAGCUUGCUCCAUGGGUGACGAGUGGCGGACGGGUGAGUAAUGUCUGGGAAACUGCCCGAUGGAGGGGGAUAACUACUGGAAACGGUAGCUAAUACCGCAUAACGUCUUCGGACCAAAGUGGGGGACCUUCGGGCCUCACACCAUCGGAUGUGCCCAGAUGGGAUUAGCUAUUAGGUGGGGUAAUGGCUCACCUAGGCGACGAUCCCUAGCUGGUCUGAGAGGAGGACCAGCCACACUGGAACUGAGACACGGUCCAGACUCCUACGGGAGGCAGCAGUGGGGAAUAUUGCACAAGGGGCGCAAGCCUGAUGCAGCCAUGCCGCGUGUAUGAAGAAGGCCUUCGGGUUGUAAAGUACUUUCAGCGGGGAGGAAGGCGUUAAGGUUAAUAACCUUGGCGAUUGGCGUUACCCGCAGAAGAAGCACCGGCUAACUCCGUGCCAGCCGCCGCAGUAA